rnacentral:rRNA from 1 species
GGAUCAUUACAGAGUUCAUGCCCGAAAGGGUAGACCUCCCACCCUUGUGUAUUAUUACUUUGUUGCUUUGGCGAGCUGCCUCUGGGCCUCGUACGCUCGCCAGAGACUAACCAAACUCUUUUUAUUCAUGUCGUCUGAGUACUAUAUAAUAGUUAAAACUUUCAACAACGGAUCUCUUGGUUCUGGCAUCGAUGAAGAACGCAGCGAAAUGCGAUAAGUAAUGUGAAUUGCAGAAUUCAGUGAAUCAUCGAAUCUUUGAACGCACAUUGCGCCCCUUGGUAUUCCGGGGGGCAUGCCUGUUCGAGCGUCAUUUCAACCCUCAAGCUCAGCUUGGUAUUGAGUCCAUGUCAGCAAUGGCAGUCUCUAAAAUCAGUGGCGGCGCCGCUGGGCCCUGAACGUAGUAAUAUCUCUCGUUACAGGUUCUCGGUGUGCUUCUGCCAAACCCUCAAUUUUUCUAUGGUUGACCUCGGAUCAGGUAGGGAUACCCGCUGAACUUAAGCAUAUCAAUAAGCGGAGGAAAAGAAACCAACAGGGAUUACCUCAGUAACGGCGAGUGAAGCGGUAAAAGCUCAAAUUUGAAAUCUGACUCUUUCAGAGUCCGAGUU